AGUUAGCGGCGAACUGGUGAGUAACACGUAGGUAAUCUGCCGUAGAGUGGGGGAAACCCAUGGAAACAUGGACUAAUACCGCAUAUACUCUUGCUACAUAAGUAGAGUAGAGGAAAGGAGCAAUCCGCUUUACGAUGAGCCUGCGGCCUAUUAGCCUGUUGGUGGGGUAACGGCCUACCAAAGCUACGAUAGGUAGCCGACCUGAGAGGGUGACCGGCCACAUUGGGACUGAGAUACGGCCCAGACUCCUACGGGAGGCAGCAGCUGAGAAUCUUCCACAAUGGACGAAAGUCUGAUGGAGCGACAUCGCGUGAGGGAUGAAGGCCUUCGGGUUGUAAACCUCGGAAAUUAUCGAAGAAUGAGUGACAGUAGAUAAUGUAAGCCUCGGCUAACUACGUGCCAGCAGCCGCGGUAAUACGUAG
rnacentral:rRNA from 1 species